GUAGGUGGCAAGCGUUGUCCGGAAUUAUUGGGCGUAAAGCGCGCGCAGGUGGUUCUUUAAGUCUGAUGUGAAAGCCCCCGGGCUCAACCGGGGAGGGUCAUUGGAAACUGGGGAACUUGAGUGCAGGAGAGGAAAGUGGAAUUCCACGUGUAGCGGUGAAAUGCGUAGAUAUGUGGAGGAACACCAGUGGCGAAGGCGACUUUCUGGCCUGUAACUGACACUGAGGCGCGAAAGCAUGGGGAGCAAACAGGAUUAGAUACCCUGGUAGUCCACGCCGUAAACGAUGAGUGCUAAGUGUUGGGGGGUUUCCGCCCCUCAGUGCUGCAGCUAACGCAUUAAGCACUCCGCCUGGGGAGUACGGUCGCAAGACUG
rnacentral:rRNA from 1 species